GUGCCUGCUUCAGCGGCACAUAUGCUGAAAUUGGAAUGAUACAGAGACUAGAAUGGCCCCUGCGCAAGGAAAGCAUGCAAAUUCGUGAAGCUUUCUGAAUUUUU